rnacentral:misc_RNA from 1 species
UCCGAGUUGACCCCGGCAGUCUCCUAUGAGUCCCCACCAUUACGUGCUGGCAACAUAGAACGAGGGUUGCGCUCGUUGCGGGACUUAACCCAACAUCUCACGACACGAGCUGACGACAACCAUGCACCACCUGUGCACGGCCCUUACGGACCCCGCAUCUCUGCGAGAUUUCCGGCGAUGUCAAACCCAGGUAAGGUUCUUCGCGUUGCAUCGAAUUAAUCCGCAUGCUCCGCCGCUUGUGCGGGCCCCCGUCAAUUCCUUUGAGUUUCAGUCUUGCGACCGUACUCCCCAGGCGGAGUGCUUAAUGUGUUGACUUCGGCACAGCAGGGGUCGAUACCCGCUACACCAAGCACUCAUCGUUUACGGCGUGGACUAC